UGUGUUUUAAAAAGUCUCUUUAGGUACUUACUUUUGUAUUUUCACUGAUUUGUCUCGUCAUUUUUGCUUAACAGACUACUACUAGGUGCAAAGCCCUAUAAAAAUUACAAUCCGGAAGUUUCGGAGGCAUGCCUAAGAGCAAUAAAAUUGAAAGAAAUAUUCCAACGCAAAGCUUUCAAACAAUACAAAAUUCCAAAACCAACCAUCAAGAAAAAACUUAAAGACCACCACGGACUGCCGUUAACACUUAAAAUGAAUACUAUGCCCUUUAAAAAAAAUUUAAAAAGUUGUCAAUUGAUGAUGCUAGAUGAAUCUAACAAUAUUGUACGCUGUAAAAUAAUGCAUGCAGAAAUAUCUAGAAUUGAGUCCUACUGAACUGGAAUCAUCACAUAUAACUGAAAUUAUAUCAAGAAAAAUAAUCUUAAAAGAAUGGAUAAU